GAAAUGCGAUAAGUAAUGUGAAUUGCAGAAUUCCGUGAAUCAUCGAAUCUUUGAACGCACAUUGCGCCCUCUGGUAUUCCGGGGGGGCAUGCCUGUCCGAGCGUCAUUGCGAACCCCUCAAGCACGGCUUGUGUGAUGGGCCCUCCCGCGUCUUGGUCGUCAAGACGGGCCCGAAAUGCAGUGGCGGCUUCGCGGUUAUCCGAUCAGCCAGAGCGUAUGGGGACUUUCUCUCUGUCACACGCCCGCGGCGCGGACCGACGCCUGUCGACCUUUAUUCAUCUUUUUCUCGGUUGACCUCGGAUCAGGUAGGGAUACCCGCUGAACUUAAGC
rnacentral:misc_RNA from 1 species